UAGCAUCUCAGAAGCCCAAACCGGCUGUGACCAAUAUGGAGGCGAAGCUGAGCUUUCUUUGUCUCCAGCAGGGCAGGCGCUGAGGACUUACACAAAAUAAACAUGCAUCAGGAUCCUCAAAGACAAGAAAAGAUUGAGAAAACAUGGAAGGUGGCAAAGGCUAAGGAGAAAUAACAACUGAAUGUAAAGUGGAUCCUGGAUCAGAAAAAAAGACAUUAGUGGGAAAAUGGCAGAAUUUCCAUUAAGAUCUGCAGCUCAGUUUAUAAUGUUGUACCAUCAUGAAGUUCCUGUUCUCAAAAUAUCUACAAUUAGUUAUGUGGUUCCCUUUAGAGCAAGAGGGCUUGUGAGAUGUUAUAAAGACUGUACAUGGCCUAUUGUUGUACCUCUUCUAUAAUAUGAAAGUGAGUUGACAACUCCUUCAGGGACAAUCACAUUCACACAUUCAAUGAAGACUUGAGACAAGGAUCCUACCGCACAUCCUAGGCUCCCCUUGCCACCUCUUCAGACUGGUAUGGAGGGAAUGUGGCUGGUAGGUUGGGGGCAGGGAUAUGAAGGUCCAAGUCCCUAAGUGAUAGUGUCUAUUGUAAAUAGACACUCAUAGGUAUUGUGAGACCAGUACCUCCUUCAGACAUUGAAAAAGGACC